rnacentral:rRNA from 1 species
UACGUAGGGUGCGAGCGUUAAUCGGAAUUACUGGGCGUAAAGCGUGCGCAGGCGGUUUUGUAAGCCAGAUGUGAAAUCCCCGGGCUUAACCUGGGAAUGGCAUUUGGGACUGCAAGGCUUGAGUGCGGCAGAGAGACUGGAAUCCUGGUGUAGCAGUGAAAUGCGUAGAGUAUCAGGAGGAACACCGGUGGCGAAGGCGGCCAUCUGGACCGCAACUGACGCUGAGGCGCGAAAGCGUGGGAGCA